rnacentral:rRNA from 1 species
CAGUCGUGCGGCAGCGGGCCCCGCAAGGGGUGCUGGCGAGCGGCGAAAGGGUCAGUAACACGUGGAUAACCUACCCUCGGGCUCGGGAUAGCGGCGGGAAACUGCCGGUAAUACCGGAUAAUGUCCAUGGACCAAAGGUGUGAUUCCGUCCGAGGAUGGGUCCGCGUCCUAUUAGCUAGUUGGUGAGGUAACGGCCCACCAAGGCAAAGAUGGGUAGGGGGUGUGAGAGCAUGAUCCCCGACACUGGGACUGAGACACUGCCCAGACACCUACGGGUGGCUGCAGUCGAGAAUCUUCGGCAAUGGGCGCAAGCCUGACCGAGCGACGCCGCGUGCGGGAUGAAGGCCUUCGGGUUGUAAACCGCUGUCAGAGGGGCGGAAAUAUGUUGGGGUUCUCCCCAGCGUUUGACUUAACCUCAGAGGAAGCAUGGGCUAAGUUCGUGCCAGCAGCCGCGGUAAGACGAACCAUGCAAACGUUAUUCGGAAUUACUGGGCUUAAAGCGUGCGUAGGCGGCUCAGAAAGUUGGGUGUGAAAUACCUCGGCUUAACCGAGGAAUUGCGCCCAAAACUACUGGGCUUGAGGGAGUUAGAGGUGAGCGGAACUCACGGUGGAGCGGUGAAAUGCGUUGAUAUCGUGAGGAACACCGGAGGCGAAAGCGGCUCACUGGGGCUUCACUGACGCUGAGGCACGAAAGCUAGGGGAGCAAACGGGAUUAGAUACCCCGGUAGUCCUAGCCGUAAACGAUGAGCACUGGGUCGAGGGGACCUCCAC